AUGACCGCGACGGCCUGCAGCAGCUCUAUGGGAAGGCACCCCAAACCCCAUAUGACAAGCCCACAAGGAAACCCCUGGCUCCUCCCCAGCCCCCAGCCGCGCCCCCAGACAGGUGAGUCCCCCACCACCUGUGACCUUGGGUGCUCUGCUGCCCAGCCUCAGUGCCCUCUGAAAUGGGGACGGUGGGGUCCCUGCCCUUGGAGGAAACAAGCCCCCAGUGUCUGCUCACCUCUCCUUUCCUCCCCAGCCCAUCCUCCCCCAUCCCUGAUCGAUGUGAGGGCAAUUUUGACGCCAUCGCCAACAUCCGAGGGGAGACUUUCUUCUUCAAAGGUUAGUCAUUUCUCCUGUCCCCUGACCUCACGUAGGCUUGACCUCCUACCCACUUCAAGUGACACACUGGGGCUGUGGGCUUACCCAGGAAGUGAAACGUUUUUUUCUUCUCCUUCUUUGGGACAGAGUCUUGCUUUGUUGCCUGGGCUGAAGUGUAGUGGUGCGACCAUGGCUCACUGCAGCCCCCGCAUACUGGGCUCAAGCGAUCCUCCCACCUCGGCCUCCCUAAUAGCUGGGACCACAGGCACAGGCCAACACGCCUUGCUAGUAAUUAAUUUUUUAUUUUGUAGACAUGGGGGGGGGUCUCACUGUGUUGCCCAGGCUGGUCUCAAACUCCUGGCUCGAGUGAUUCUCCCAUCAGCCUCCCAAUGUGCUAGGAUUACAGGUCUGAGCCACUAGGCCCCCCGUGUGACUUUUAGUGCUAAAAAGGGAAGAUCCCCAGGCAGGCCAGGAGGGGCUGGUCGCCCUAGAUCCACUGCACCCUCCAUUUCCAGACGGGACCCCUCCCACAGAGCCCCACACCCUGGGGGAGGAGACCUCCUGCUAUUUCAUGCCUUUCUGCCGACCCUUUCGUCCCCUGCAGGCCCCUGGUUCUGGCGUCUCCAGCCCUCGGGACAGCUGGUUUCCCCGCGGCCCGCGCGGCUGCACCGCUUUUGGGAGGGUCUGCCCGCCCAGGUGAAGGUAGUGCAGGCCGCCUACGCCC
rnacentral:lncRNA from 13 species